CAGCCGGACGCCGGGCUGGGCGCCCCGGAGCAGCCUCCACCGCUGAUAUCAGGGGCCAAGGUCCAGGCGGGGAGCACACGGCGGCACCGGGACAGCCUGAGCCAGGCGGCCGUGCCCCUACGCAGCACCAUGAGGCUGUGGCUGCUCUGCGGCUUCGCUGCCACCGUGGCCCUUGUGGCCGUGGCCCGAGCCGACCACGGUGACUCGAAGAAGGUCGCACGGGGGAGAGAGGGGAUGAGCAGCGGGGGCCGGCGCCGGCCCCACAGACCCUGCUCGGGGUGCUUCUCCGUCCUGAGCGAGGAGUCGCAGUCAACAUCCUGGCACGCCAGGGAGGAUGAUGAGGUUCAGCCGGGCAGGCGGGGGAGAGCCAGGAGGGAGGACAAGGAACCAGCCCAGCCCAUGAGGCACCCCGGCAGCGUCCUGCUGCCGUGGCAGGAAGCGCUGAGCACCCGGACGGUGUGGCGAGGAGGGGUGCCGGCAGCCGGGCGCAGCCCCACGCCAGGAGAGAGCCGGGGGUCCGGCCACCCCCAGGCUGUGCCGUAGGGCCCACCUGCCCCCUCCCAGCCCUGAGGCAGCCAGGGGGCCUGUGCCCCCCACCCAGGGCACAAGCAAGCCUGUGCCUGUGCAAGCUCAGCCCCCGUGCACCCCCAAACUGCUUCUUGGGGCACCUGCCCCCCCUCUUUGCCAAGCCACCAAAUAAAGCCAGCGAGCCACAGGGAGUGGAUGCGUUUGUGGAGGGGGAGCAUGGUGGAUG
rnacentral:lncRNA from 1 species